rnacentral:misc_RNA from 1 species
CGCCCCUCGGCGCCCAAUAACAGGGGGCAGAGAUGAGCACACACACCCACACGAAAACAACGUGCAGAACAAAACACACCGUGCACGAUAUAUGUAUAUAUACAUAUAUAUGUAUAUAUAUCCUAUAGAACGGCGGCCUACACGAGUGCAGAUCUCUUCUUUGUUUUUCCUUUGCUCGCCUGUUCGCUGGCUUUGCCCUGACAACAAGGAUGCUGAGCUCCCUACGCAGCAGGGGGCCUCGUUACCCAGUCCCGCACGGACACCUGCCCGCACGCUGGCUUCCUGCAGCGCCAGGGGACUGGAAGUGACAACAUGGCGUGCAGGUGGGUUUGCUGCUCAUUUUUUUUCGUCGCUUUAUGCACCACAGGCUUCUCCCCUUCGUUUUUUUUUGUCGUCCCCCUCCCCUGCGCUUAUCGAUAUUUCACGUCCUGGCAGUACCGCGCACCGCGACGGAAAGGGUGUCCCCCAUCCCUUCUUGAUUUGCUAUCCCAACGCCACGCCCUGUGAUAGAGGCAUUUCGUCGUGUCGCUCGUACAUUUUGAUGCGCAGCAGCUUAACGGGUCCUUCUUCCUGUAUGCGAGCAGGCGUUGGUGCGGUGGUGACGGCGGUGCUGGCCUCCGUUGCAUGUUUCCCACCUGCACGUGCCCUCUCGCGAGACCUACCGGGAUCACGGUGCGGCCUCUCAACUUGAUUCGUAUUCCAACGUUUUUUUUUUGUUCUGCCUUUCUUCAUCUGCUUUGUGACUUCAACGAUUUAUAUCUGUGUGAGCCCCUGCGCGAAGCGCAACAGAAAACAGGAUGUGGCUAGCGAAGGCGGUCGCCACCGCUCUGCCCCCCAUCCUCCCCUUCCCAUUCCUCUAUAAAAGGCAAAGAAGAACCACCCGCUUGUAUUGGUGUGCUCUUACUCGUGGAUGAAUCCGUAAAGACAGCUCUGUGCAGGUGCUCACAAGGCAGCUUGUGCCCGUGGCUUUUCUCUCGAGAGUGGAUAGUCUGCACCUUCUUCACUGCGGAUGGGCUGGGCACUCGAUUGUACCCCGAUGUGGAAUGUGGUGAAGCUUGUGACCAGCUUGUCAGUCGUUCGUGGCGUGCUCUCCUUCUCUUCUGGUUCCCUCCUCCCCUGCACCCC